AUUGAACGCUGGCGGCAUGCCUUACACAUGCAAGUCGAACGGCAGCACGGGAGCAAUCCUGGUGGCGAGUGGCGAACGGGUGAGUAAUAUAUCGGAACGUGCCCAGUAGUGGGGGAUAACUGCUCGAAAGAGCAGCUAAUACCGCAUACGACCUGAGGGUGAAAGGGGGGGAUCGCAAGACCUCUCGCUAUUGGAGCGGCCGAUAUCAGAUUAGCUAGUUGGUGGGGUAAAGGCCUACCAAGGCAACGAUCUGUAGUUGGUCUGAGAGGACGACCAGCCACACUGGGACUGAGACACGGCCCAGACUCCUACGGGAGGCAGCAGUGGGGAAUUUUGGACAAUGGGCGCAAGCCUGAUCCAGCAAUGCCGCGUGCAGGAAGAAGGCCUUCGGGUUGUAAACUGCUUUUGUCAGGGAAGAAAUCCUCUAGGUUAAUACCCUUGGGGGGACGACGGUACCUGAAGAAUAAGCACCGGCUAACUACGUGCCAGCAGCCGCCGUAAAAC
rnacentral:rRNA from 1 species